rnacentral:rRNA from 1 species
GACGAACGCUGGCGGCGUGCUUAACACAUGCAAGUCGAACGGAAAGGCCCUGCUUUUGUGGGGUGCUCGAGUGGCGAACGGGUGAGUAACACGUGAGUAACCUGCCCUUGACUUUGGGAUAACUUCAGGAAACUGGGGCUAAUAUCGGAUAGGAGCUCUUGCUGCAUGGUGGGGGUUGGAAAGUUUCGGCGGUUGGGGAUGGACUCGCUGGUUAUCAGCUUGUUGGUGGGGUAGUGGCUUACCAAGGCUUUGACGGGUAGCCGGCCUGAGAGGGUGACCGGCCACAUUGGGACUGAGGUACGGCCCAGACGCCUACGGGAGGCAGCAGUGGGGAAUAUUGCACAAUGGGCGGAAGCCUGAUGCAGCAACGCCGCGUGCGGGAUGACGGCCUUCGGGUUGUAAACCGCUUUCGCCUGUGACGAAGCGUGAGUGACGGUAAUGGGUAAAGAAGCACCGGCUAACUACGUG